rnacentral:rRNA from 1 species
AAUCAACGCUGGCGGCGUGCCUAACACAUGCAAGUCGAACGGUAACAGGCCCUUCGGGGUGCUGACGAGUGGCGGACGGGUGAGUAAUGCUUAGGAAUCUGCCUAGUAGUGGGGGAUAACCCGGGGAAACUCGGGCUAAUACCGCAUACGCCCUACGGGGAAGGCGGGGACGUUUCGGGCCGUCGCGCUAUUAGAUGAGCCUAAGUCCGAUUAGCUAGUU